GGCUGCAAGAAACUGCCAGCAACAAAAACGCAGCUCAGACGAGGAUUAGGUUAAAAAGCGUGAUUCCUGCCUCAGUGAAGGUGAAGAUCGGGGUGCUGAGGUGACACACAAGCUAACAAGCUUACGGCAAACGACGGCCCAGAAGCUGAGUGAUGCAACGGUGGAGACAUUUCGGAACCACGCCGCCCUUUAGGCCUCGUCGCCUCGGCUCAAAGAAGACGCGGAGGUGGCGGUGGGUGUGUUUACACAAGCGGCUUUGCUUUGCGUUUAUGGAUACAUAAACAUUCAUGAGCCAGUGCUCAGCCUCCCAGAAGAAUGCUGGCAGAAUAAAGGCCAGGCCCGACUGGUGCUGCCCACAGCCGACUGCACAAGGCUCUCCUGUUGUAAGGCUUGGCCUGACCUACAGCUGGUUGCUUGACAUUAACACAUAAUAAAAAUUAUUAAUAUUAAAUAUGA